UGCAGUCGAGCGAUGAAACUUUAACAGAACCCUUCGGGGCGAAGAUAAAGUGGAUUAGCGGCGGACGGGUGAGUAACACGUGAGUAACCUGCCUUAGACAUUGGGAUAGCCUCGGGAAACCGGGAUUAAUACCAAAUAAAAUUAUAAUGACACAUGUCAUAACGAUCAAAACUCCGGUGGUCUAAGAUGGACUCGCGUCCCAUUAGCUAGUUGGUAGAGUAAAAGCCUACCAAGGCGACGAUGGGUAGCCGGCCUGAGAGGGUGAACGGCCACAUUGGAACUGAGAAACGGUCCAAACUCCUACGGGAGGCAGCAGUGGGGAAUAUUGCACAAUGGAGGGAACUCUGAUGCAGCGACGCCGCGUGAACGAAGAAGGCUUUCGAGUCGUAAAGUUCUUUUAUAUGGGAAGAUAAUGACGGUACCAUAAGAAAAAGCCCCGGCUAACUACGUGCCAGCAGCCGCGGUAAUACGUAGGGGGCUAGCGUUGUCCGGAAUCACUGGGCGUAAAGGGUUCGCAGGCGGAAAUGCAAGUCAGAUGUAAAAGGCAGUAGCUUAACUACUGUAAGCAUUUGAAACUGCAUAUCUUGAGAAGAGUAGAGGUAAGUGGAAUUUUUAGUGUAGCGGUGAAAUGCGUAGAUAUUAAAAAGAAUACCGGUGGCGAAAGGCGACUUACUGGGCUCAUUCUGACGCUGAGGAACGAAAGCGUGGGUAGCAAACAGGAUUAGAUACC
rnacentral:rRNA from 1 species